rnacentral:rRNA from 1 species
CCUUACCUGGCCUUGACAUACUAAGAACUUUCCAGAGAUGGAUUGGUGCCUUCGGGAACUUAGAUACAGGUGCUGCAUGGCUGUCGUCAGCUCGUGUCGUGAGAUGUUGGGUUAAGUCCCGCAACGAGCGCAACCCUUUUCCUUAUUUGCCAGCGGGUUAAGCCGGGAACUUUAAGGAUACUGCCAGUGACAAACUGGAGGAAGGCGGGGACGACGUCAAGUCAUCAUGGCCCUUACGGCCAGGGCUACACACGUGCUACAAUGGUCGGUACAAAGGGUUGCUACCUCGCGAGAGGAUGCUAAUCUCAAAAAGCCGAUCGUAGUCCGGAUCGCAGUCUGCAACUCGACUGCGUGAAGUCGGAAUCGCUAGUAAUCGCGGAUCAGAAUGCCGCGGUGAAUACGUUCCCGGGCCUUGUACACACCGCCCGUCACACCAUGGGAGUUUGUUGCACCAGAAGUAGGUAGUCUAACCGCAAGGAGGACGCUUACCACGGUGUGGCCGAUGACUGGGGUGAAGUCGUAACAAGGUAGGCGUAGAUGA